GAUGGACGCUGGCGGCGUGCCUAAUACAUGCAAGUCGAGCGAACGGACGAGAAGCUUGCUUCUCUGAUGUUAGCGGCGGACGGGUGAGUAACACGUGGAUAACCUACCUAUAAGACUGGGAUAACUUCGGGAAACCGGAGCUAAUACCGGAUAAUAUUUUGAACCGCAUGGUUCAAAAGUGAAAGACGGUCCUGCUGUCACUUAUAGAUGGAUCCGCGCUGCAUUAGCUAGUUGGUAAGGUAACGGCUUACCAAGGCAACGAUGCAUAGCCGACCUGAGAGGGUGAUCGGCCACACUGGAACUGAGACACGGUCCAGACUCCUACGGGAGGCAGCAGUAGGGAAUCUUCCGCAAUGGGCGAAAGCCUGACGGAGCAACGCCGCGUGAGUGAUGAAGGUCUUCGGAUCGUAAAACUCUGUUAUUAGGGAAGAACAUAUGUGUAAGUAACUGUGCACAUCUUGACGGUACCUAAUCAGAAAGCCACGGCUAACUACGUG
rnacentral:rRNA from 1 species